rnacentral:misc_RNA from 1 species
AACGAGGCCGACCUGCGGCUGAGUUACCUGCGGAGGGAUCAUUAUCAAAACAGCGGCCUUCGGGCCUUGCUGCACCCUUGUCUUUUGCGCACCGUAUUGUUUCCUCGGCGGGCUUGCCUGCCGGUUGGACAUUAUCAAACCUUUUUGUAGUUGCAAUCAGCGUCAGAAAAACAAUAAUUAUUACAACUUUCAACAAUGGAUCU